rnacentral:rRNA from 1 species
GACAGAGGUGCCAAGCGUUAGGCGGAAUCACUGGGCUUAAAGCGUGUGUAGGCGGCUCGUUAAGUACCUUGUGAAAUCCCACGGCUCAACCGUGGAACUGCUCGGUAUACUGGCGGUCUUGAGCCACCUAGGGGCAACUGGAACAAGCGGUGGAGCGGUGAAAUGCGUUGAUAUUCACAGGAACUCCGGUGGCGAAGGCGAGGUGCUGGACCCCUUCUGACGCUGAGGCGCGAAAGCCAGGGGAGCGAACGGG